rnacentral:misc_RNA from 1 species
AUUCCGUAGGUGAACCUGCGGAAGGAUCAUUAUUGUAUAACCGAGGUGCGAGGGCUGUCGCUGACCCGAAAGGUCGUGCACGCCCGAGUGCUCUCACACACAUCCAUCUCACCCCUAUGUGCACCACCGCGUGGGUCCCCCUUUGGCUUGUUCGGAGGGGGGCUUACGUUUUCACACAAACUUUGUAUGCAGUGUAGAAUGUAUUUUUUGUUUUUGCGAUCACGCAAUCAAUACAACUUUCAACAACGGAUCUCUUGGCUCUC